rnacentral:rRNA from 1 species
GACGAACGCUGGCGGCGUGCUUAACACAUGCAAGUCGAACGGAAAGGCCUGCUUUCCCUUGUGGAUUGCGGGUACUCGAGUGGCGAACGGGUGAGUAACACGUGAGUGAUCUGCCCCCAACUUGGGUAUAAGCCUGGGAAACUGGGUCUAAUUCCCGAUAGGACUGCAGGGUGGUGCCUGUGGUGGAACACGAUUUUCUAGUGGUUGGGGAUGAGCUCGCGGCCUAUCAGCUUGUUGGUGGGGUAAUGGCCUACCAAGGCGGCGACGGGUAGCCGGCCUGAGAGGGUGGACGGCCACAUUGGGACUGAGAUACGGCCCAGACUCCUAGGGGAGGCAGCAGUGGGGAAUAUUACACAAUGGGCGGAAGCCUGAUGCAGCGACGCAGCGUGGGGGAUGACGGCCUUCGGGUGGUAAACUCCUUUCGACCGCGAGGAAGCCACCUGGUUGGAAGGGUGGUGACGGUAGUGGUAGAAGAAGCACCGGCUAACUACGUG